GCGGAUGUGUCUAAGUUGGAAUAGAUCUCGCCUUAAAAGCGGGUGCAGUAGUGCCUCGUGGGUUCAAGUCCCACCAUCCGUA
rnacentral:tRNA from 1 species